UGAGGAAUAUUGGGCAAUGGGCGAAAGCCUGACCCAGCAACGCCGCGUGAGGGAUGAAGGCCUUCGGGUUGUAAACCUCCUUUCUGGGAGAAGAGACAAGGACGGUAUCCCAGGAAUAAGUCUCGGCUAACUACGUGCCAGCAGCCGCGGUAAUACGUAGGAGGCUAGCGUUAUCCGGAUUCACUGGGCGUAAAGCGCACGCAGGCGGUCAUGUAAGUCGGACGUGAAAGCUCCUGGCUCAACUGGGAGAGGUCGUUCGAUACUGCAUGGCUUGAGGUUGGGAGAGGGAAGCGGAAUUCCCGGUGUAGUGGUGGAAUGCGUAGAUAUCGGGAGGAACACCAGUGGCGAAAGCGGCUUCCUGGCCCAUACCUGACGCUCAGGUGCGAAAGCGUGGGGAGCGAACAGGAUUAGAUACCCUGGUAGUCCACGCGGUAAACGAUGAGAACUAGACGUCAGGCGGGUAUGACUGUUUGGUGUCGGAGCUAACGCGUUAAGUUCUCCGCCUGGGGAGUACGGCCGCAAGGUUG
rnacentral:rRNA from 1 species